AAUCUUGCGCAAUGGACGCAAGUCUGACGGAGCAACGCCGCGUGAGUGAUGAAGGNUUNNGGAUCNUNAAGCACUGUCAUUGGNNNNNAAAAGAUGACGAUAACCAAGGAGGAAGCCCCGGCUAACUACGUUCUAGCAGCCGCGGUAAUACGUAGGGGGCGAGCGUUGUCCGGAAUUACUGGGCGUAAAGGGGACGUAGGCGGCUAUAUAAGUCAGGUGUGAAAUACCAGUGCUUAACACUGGAAUUGCAUUUGAAACUGUGUAGCUUGAGUGCAGGAGAGGAAAGUGGAAUUCCUAGUGUAGCGGUGAAAUGCGUAGAGAUUAGGAGGAACACCAGUGGCGAAGGCGACUUUCUGGACUGUAACUGACGCUGAGGUACGAAAGCGUGGGUAGCGAACA
rnacentral:rRNA from 1 species